rnacentral:sRNA from 1 species
UCAGAAUAGACACGUUGGUGCGAAAGGC